rnacentral:rRNA from 1 species
UAGCGUAGGGGGCAAGCGUUGUCCGGAUUUAUUGGGCGUAAAGAGCGUGUAGGCGGUUAGGUAGGUCCGUUGUGAAAACUCGAGGCUCAACCUCGAGACGCCGAUGGAAACCAUCUAACUAGGAGUCCGGAAGAGGAGAAUGGGAAUUCCUGGUGUAGCGGUGAAAUGCGCAGAUAUCAGGAAGAACACCCGUGGCUAAGGCGGUUCUCUAGUACGGUACUGACGCUGGAGACGCGAAAGCGUGGGGAGCGAACAGG